UACGUAGGUGGCAAGCGUUGUCCGGAUUUACUGGGCGUAAAGAGCGCGCAGGCGGUCGUGCAAGUCGCGUGUGAAAGCCCCCGGCUCAACUGGGGAGGGUCAUGCGAUACUGCUCGACUCGAAGGCAGGAGAGGGAAGUGGAAUUCCCGGUGUAGUGGUGAAAUGCGUAGAUAUCGGGAGGAACACCAGUGGCGAAGGCGACUUCCUGGCCUGUUCUUGACGCUGAGGCGCGAAAGCUAGGGUAGCAAACGGG
rnacentral:rRNA from 1 species